GCGGGUGUGGCGAAAUUGGUAGACGCACCAGAUUUAGGUUCUGGCGCCUUACGGCGUGGGGGUUCAAGUCCCUUCACCCGCACCA
rnacentral:tRNA from 1 species